GACGAAGGAUGCAAGCGUUAUCCGGAUUCAUUGGGUUUAAAGGGUGCGUAGGCGGCUUUGUAAGUCAGGGGUGAAAUCCUGGAGCUCAACUCCAGAACUGCCUUUGAUACUGAGGAUCUUGAGUACGGGAGAGGUGAGUGGAACUGCGAGUGUAGAGGUGAAAUUCGUAGAUAUUCGGAGGAACACCAGUGGCGAAGGCGGCUCACUGGCUCGGUACUGACGCUGAGGUGCGAAAGCGUGGGGAGCAAACAGG
rnacentral:rRNA from 1 species